UCUUAUGAUGGGAUAACGGCAGAG
rnacentral:piRNA from 1 species